CCUACGGGGUGCAGCAGUGGGGAAUAUUGGACAAUGGGGGAAACCCUGAUCCAGCGACGCCGCGUGAGUGAAGAAGUAUUUCGUUACGUAAAGCUCUAUCAGCAGGAAAGAAAAUGACGGUACCUGACUAAGAAGCCCCGGCUAACUACGUGCCAGCAGCCGCGGUAAUACGUAGGGGGCAAGCGUUAUCCGGAUUUACUGGGUGGAAAGGGAGCGUAGACGGCAGCGCAAGUCUGGAGUGAAAUGCCGGGGCACAACCCCGGAACUGCUCUGGAAACUGUGAAGCUGGAGUGCAGGAGAGGUAAGCGGAAUUCCUGGUGGAGCGGUGAAAUGCGUAGAUAUCAGGAGGAACACCGGCGGCGAAGGCGGCUUACUGGACUGUAACUGACGUUGAGGCUCGAAGGCGUGGGGAGCAAACAGGAUUAGAUACCCCGGUAGUC
rnacentral:rRNA from 1 species